AGAUGUUAAAAGCAAGAGACAUGGGAGAGCAUCAUUCCUUUGAGAUUUUAUAAAUCAAACCAACUUUGGAGUUGUCUGAUUUGGAGAGUCAUUAUUCUUGGUCUGCGCUCUUAGAGGCCACUGAUGAAGAACAGGCGGUGACUGGGAUGAAUCCUGGUCAGAGAGGAGAAUCUUCUUUCCCCUAAACUGAUGCAGCAGUGGUUUUAAAGGAGGACGCUGCCCUGGAUGAUGUAGAAGAUGUCACAUGCUGUGCUGAUGGGGUUUCUUCAUGAUUACAUCAGUUAUGCUAAAGAGAUCAUGAAAAUUGACCGUGAUGCAUGAUCUGUAUUCAUGGACUAUGAAACAAACUGUAAGUGUAUAAUUUGUUAAAAAAAAAAAAAAAGUUAAAUGCUUUUUCUGUGUUGUUUAGUAGAAGAGUUUACACUCUGUCAUUCAUACACCUGCUCACAUUCUUU